rnacentral:lncRNA from 1 species
GAUUUUGUUCAUUUGAUUCACUUUGAAAAAUUUAUUCAUGCUUUGCAAGCUUUAAUCUAGUCAUCAUUUCUAUUAUUUUACUCUGAUUGAUCAAUUUUAAGAAAUAAAUUUGAAAAAUAUGUCUCUUGAAUCUUUUGAAAUUGGUAGCAAGCUAAUUUUUCAAAUUGUCAACUAUUUUUGAGAAAUAGGUUUAAAACUUACUCUUCUUAAAUCUAUAAAUGGCCUCA